rnacentral:rRNA from 1 species
GAAUAUUGGACAAUGGGCGAAAGCCUGAUCCAGCCAUGCCGCGUGUGUGAAGAAGGUCUUCGGAUUGUAAAGCACUUUAAGUUGGGAGGAAGGGCAGUAAGUUAAUACCUUGCUGUUUUGACGUUACCGACAGAAUAAGCCCCGGCUAACUCUGUGCCAGCAGCCGCGGUAAUACAGAGGGUGCAAGCGUUAAUCGGAAUUACUGGGCGUAAAGCGCGCGUAGGUGGUUCGUUAAGUUGGAUGUGAAAUCCCCGGGCUCAACCUGGGAACUGCAUUCAAAACUGUCGAGCUAGAGUAUGGUAGAGGGUGGUGGAAUUUCCUGUGUAGCGGUGAGAUGCGUAGAUAUAGGAAGGAACACCAGUGGCGAAGGCGACCACCUGGACUGAUACUGACACUGAGGUGCGAAAGCGUGGGGAGCAAACAGG